rnacentral:misc_RNA from 1 species
UGAUGCAGAGGUUAUAGAGGAG